GCCGAGAUACCAUUUAUAUGUCGAAAUGACGGAAAUGGUAUCAAAAUUAGAAAUACAGACUUUUGAUUUUUUAGAUUGUGAAAACUUAUCGCCACUAAUCGAGAUACUAUUGUAUUUUAAAAGGAAUAUUUAGACUCCCCAAAUUGUGUUGCGAAAGUAUACGGUUGUGGGUUUAGAGUCUAGUAAUGUGUCGACGAAAUUGGGUGUUACCCCUAAUUAUAUUAUUUUCUAAAAAAAUAUAAUU
rnacentral:lncRNA from 1 species